GGAAAACCUAAAAUUUUCUCUCAAAAUUUCCCUUCUCCUCACGCACGCGGCGCCGUUUCUUCUCUCGGGCGAAAACCCCAGCCAAGGCUAGGGUUCCUCCCUCCGGCGUCGGCGAGGUGUUUUCCGGCCGAUCUCCACCCGUGGGUGACCAUUCCGGCAGGGGAAGCUCGGGGAACACAAGGAAACGGGAGGAAACGAAGCUCUACCAAAACCCUAGGACACUUCUCUUCGGUUGUAAGUCCAAGAACCCGAUAUACGGAUAAAAAUAAAGGAAAAGCUAAAGUGGUGUAGAAGAAGGCGACACGGAGUCGUUGAUGGUGUGUGUGUGGUGGCUGAUAUGGAAGCUUGGGACCUUGCUAGAAGAAUUUACAAAUCGUACCUGCUGGUGUUUUUAGUUACUGCUAGAGUAGAAUUUAUUUUGCAUUGCUAAGGAUUGGUAUAGAUUGCUUCAAUGAGAAUCUGCCGUAUGAUUCAUCUUAACUCUUUCUGCUGUAGUGAUAGAUUCAUUUGCUGUAUUUGGUUAGCUUUAAUGAUUCUUUUGUUAUGGUUAAGUGCUGCUUGGAAUUUCUACAGUAAGUGCUUAUUUCGGAUCAGCAAGUGUGAAGUAAGACCAUAUCUGAUUUGAGUUCGAUUUUUAUAAAGGAAGUUCAUAUCUGAUUUUCAGUUUGCAAACUUAAUUAGAAGUGUGAAGUGGUAUGCUCAGUUGCUUUAGAUUCUGUUAUAGCAUGAAAUUUCUGCAGUAGGAUCAGUUUCUGUGAUCAACAAGUUUUAUUACAGUAAAUGGAUUGGUUACCUAGUAUUGCUGAAACGUUUCUUGGUACUGCUUGAUUUAAUUCGGACUGGUAAUUAUUGAAGUUGAGUCUCUUUGAAAUUCUAUUGUAAAUGCAUGCAAAUCUUGUAUAGCAGAAAUCUUAUGCGUAACCAGUAGUAUACAAAUAGGAAAUUUGAAAGUUGCUGGAAUUUUCUUCCCAUUACAAUUGCAGCAUGCAAUACAGAUUUCCCUUUUUAUGUUGCUGCCUUGAAACUUAAGUACCCUAGUUUUUUUAAAAUCUCAGAAUGAAUCACUACAUUCUUUUAAUAGAUAUAGAGGCAUGUUGUACAUAUGAUCAGUAGUCAAGUAGCUAUGCUUAUUUAGGUACAGUAGGCAUGUUCUAUUUGAUUGGGCAGUAGAAGUAUAUAAGCUACAUAUGUCCGUAUGCUAUGCUUACUUGUUGUCUCACUUAAUUGCAUGUUUGAUAAAAAAAAAAAAAUAGUGGUUAAGUAACGUUCACCCUAAGAGUAG